rnacentral:rRNA from 1 species
AUUGAACGCUGGCGGCAUGCCUUACACAUGCAAGUCGAACGGUAACAGGUCUUCGGAUGCUGACGAGUGGCGAACGGGUGAGUAAUACAUCGGAACGUGCCCGAUCGUGGGGGAUAACGAAGCGAAAGCUUUGCUAAUACCGCAUACGAUCUACGGAUGAAAGCAGGGGACCGCAAGGCCUUGCGCGAACGGAGCGGCCGAUGGCAGAUUAGGUAGUUGGUGGGAUAAAAGCUUACCAAGCCGACGAUCUGUAGCUGGUCUGAGAGGACGACCAGCCACACUGGGACUGGGACACGGCCCAGACUCCUACGGGAGGCAGCAGUGGGGAAUUUUGGACAAUGGGCGAAAGCCUGAUCCAGCCAUGUCGCGUGCAGGAGGAAGGCCUUCGGGUUGUAAACUGCUUUUGUACGGAACGAAAAGACUCUGGUUAAUACCUGGGGUCCAUGACGGUACCGUAAGAAUAAGCACCGGCUAACUACGUGCCAGCAGCCGCCGUAAGAC